GAUGAACGCUGGCGGCGUGCCUAAUACAUGCAAGUCGAGCGAACAGACGCUGCGCUUGCUCCUCUGACGUUAGCGGCGGACGGGUGAGUAACACGUGUAUAACCUACCUGUCAGACUGGUAUCACUUCGGGAAACCGGCUCUAAUACCGGAUAAUAUAUUGAACCGCAUGGUUCAAUAGUGAAAUACGGUGUUUCUGUCACUUAUAGAUGGAUCCCCGCCGCUUUAGCUAGUUGUUAAGGUAACGGCUUACCAAGGCGACGAUGCGUGGCCGACCUGAGAGGGUGAUCGGCCACACGGGAACGGAGACACGGACCAGACUCCUACGGGAGGCAGCAGUAGGGAAUCUGACGCAAUGGGCGAAAGCCUGACGGAGCAACGCCGAGUGAGUGAUGAAGGUCUUCGGAUCGUAAAACUCUGUUAUUAGGGAAGAACAAAUGUGUAAGUAACUAUGCACGUCUUGACGGUACCUAAUCAGAAAGCCACGGCUAACUACGUG
rnacentral:rRNA from 1 species